UAGGGAAUCUUCGGCAAUGGACGAAAGUCUGACCGAGCAACGCCGCGUGAGUGAAGAAGGUUUUCGGAUCGUAAAACUCUGUUGUUAGAGAAGAACAAGGACGUUAGUAACUGAACGUCCCCUGACGGUAUCUAACCAGAAAGCCACGGCUAACUACGUGCCAGCAGCCGCGGUAAUACGUAGGUGGCAAGCGUUGUCCGGAUUUAUUGGGCGUAAAGCGAGCGCAGGCGGUUUCUUAAGUCUGAUGUGAAAGCCCCCGGCUCAACCGGGGAGGGUCAUUGAAAACUGGGAGACGUGAGUGCAGAAGAGGAGAGUGGAAUUCCAUGUGUAGCGGUGAAAUGCGUAGAUAUAUGGAGGAACACCAGUGGCGAAGGCGGCUCUCUGGUCUGUAACUGACGCUGAGGCUCGAAAGCGUGGGGAGCAAACAGG
rnacentral:rRNA from 1 species